CCUACGGGGGGCAGCAGUGGGGGAUAUUGGACAAUGGGGGAAACCCUGAUCCAGCGACGCCGCGUGAGUGAAGAAGUAUUUCGGUAUGUAAAGCUCUAUCAGCAGGGAAGCACGAAAUGACGGUACCUGCGUAAGAAGCCCCGGCUAACUCCGUGCCAGCAGCCGCGGUAAUACGUCGGGGGCAAGCGUUAUCCGGAAUUACUGGGUGUAAAGGGCGCGUAGACGGUAAUGAAAGUCUGGAGGGAAAGGCGGGGGCCCAACCCCCGGAGUGCCCUGGAAACUGUGUAACUGGAGUGCAGGAGAGGCAGGCGGAAUUACUAGUGUAGCGGUGAAAUGCGUAGAUAUCACGAAGAACCCCGAGUGCGAAGGCAGCCUGCCGCAGCGUAACUGACGCGGAAGCUCGAAAGCGCGGGUAUCGAACAGGAUUAGAUACCCGAGUAGUC
rnacentral:rRNA from 1 species